UGCAAUAUGAGCAGUAUCAAACAUUAUCAACUACCUACAAUAGAACAAAAAUUUAUGGUGUUUGGCAUGGAAAAUAACAUAGUAAUUAAAAGUACAUACUUGAUCAUUGAUCAUUCUCUCUCGAAUGUCAAUGAAACAAGGUGGUGCAGUGUGACCAAUUUCAUUUAAGAAUCAUAUUCAUCUGUAAUAUGUUAUAAGAUUUUUGAUACUCAUUAUACUGAAAUUCAACUUCCUGAGUGCAAGGAUGA
rnacentral:misc_RNA from 1 species